ensembl:lncRNA
CUGUCUUUGACUUCAGGGAAUAGGGUGGUCAAUACACUGCAGAUCUAAUGAGAGUGACAGACAGAAACAUGGCUAGAAAAUAAGAGAAUCAGUACAACUACCAGCUAAAGAAGGGAAUAAAAAGAAGCCAGGCAGUGAUUGAGUGACUGUGUUCUUUAUAAUCGUGAGAGAUAUACAAACGAGAAAAACAAACAGAAAAAAACUAAAAAGGAGGUGGAGGGGAUGUGGAGGGGAUAUGGAGGGGAUAUGGAGGGGAUGGGAAUGGGAGGGGAUAUGGAGGGGAUAUGGAGGGGAUAUGGAGGGGAUAUGGAGGGGAUAUGGAGGGGAUAUGGAGGGGAUAUGGAGGGGAUAUGGAGGGGAUAUGGAGGGGAUAUGG